AACGGGUGCGUAACACGUGAACAAUCUACCUUUAAGUGGGGAAUAGCUCGCCGAAAGGCGAAUUAAUACCGCAUGUGGUCGAAGCUCGCAUGAGCUUCGAACUAAAGUCAGGGACCGCAAGGCCUGACGCUUCUAGAGGAGUUCGCGGCCUAUCAGCUAGUUGGCGAGGUAACGGCUCACCAAGGCUAAGACGGGUAGCUGGUCUGAGAGGAUGAUCAGCCACACUGGAACUGAGACACGGUCCAGACACC
rnacentral:rRNA from 1 species